rnacentral:rRNA from 1 species
GACGAACGCUGGCGGCGUGCCUAAUACAUGCAAGUAGAACGCUGAAGGAGGAGCUUGCUCUUCUGGAUGAGUUGCGAACGGGUGAGUAACGCGUGGGUAACCUGCCUGGUAGCGGGGGAUAACUAUUGGAAACGAUAGCUAAUACCGCAUAACAGUAGAUGUUGCAUGACAUUUGCUUAAAAGGUGCAAUUGCAUCACUACCAGAUGGACCUGCGUUGUAUUAGCUAGUUGGUGGGGUAACGGCUCACCAAGGCGACGAUACAUAGCCGACCUGAGAGGGUGAUCGGCCACACUGGGACUGAGACACGGCCCAGACUCCUACGGGAGGCAGCAGUAGGGAAUCUUCGGCAAUGGACGGAAGUCUGACCGAGCAACGCCGCGUGAGUGAAGAAGGUUUUCGGAUCGUAAAGCUCUGUUGUAAGAGAAGAACGAGUGUGAGAGUGGAAAGUUCACACUGUGACGGUAUCUUACCAGACAGGGACGGCUAACUACGUG